ACUAACCUCUGUGAAGUUAUGUGCUAACUGUACAUUUCUGUCUGAUGGAAUGCAAAUGUUUCAGUAUGGUGAUGUAAAUCUUUAAGUGCUUGACUACCAGCUGGAAGCUUGGUGGUUUGAAGCCACCCAUUGAUAGUUUAAACCCACCCAGAUGGCCUGGAAGAAAGGCCUGGCAAUCUUCUUCCGAAAGGUGGCAGCCUCGAAAACCUUGAAACCUUAUGAAACAGUUCUACUCUGUACAUGUGGGGUCACCAAGAGUCAGAAUCAAUUCCACACACACACACACCCUUUUAGUUCAGUAAUGAAGUCACUCCCGAGGUUCACCCUUCAGCCAAAGAUUACCCGACCCAGUGCCAGGGCCAUAAAACAAAAUGAGACUAAAGGGGCACACCAGCCCAGGGGCAAGGACCAGAAGGCAGGAGGGGACAGGAAAGCUGGUAAUAGGGAACCCAGGGUCAAGAAUGGAGAGUGUUGACAUGUCGUGGGGUUGUUAACCAAUGUCAUAAAAUAAUGUGUACUGUUUAAUAAAAAAGCUAGUUUGCUCUCUAAACCUUCAUCUAAAGUACAAUAAAAAAUUAAAUAAAAAAAAAGAUAACCCAAGAGUUGUGGAUUUUUUGCCCCACAGGACAUUUAUCACUUUUGUGUAUGCCCUAGCAAUCUGAUUUCAAUUUUUUCUCCACUGCCUGUAUAACCCCUGCUCCUCAGUUGCUCCUUUGAACCAUCCUACUCCUUGCCUCAUUAAUGAAUAAGUCUUUGCCACAGGUUCGCUCCAUAUUUGAAUGGUAGUCAUGUUUUUAACUUUUUGAAAAUUAUACUUCCAGGUUCUCUGGAUAGAAUUUAUAGAACCAUUAAAAUCAUGUUUUGGGGAGGAUUUAAUGAUGCAAGAAAUGCCCAUAAUAUGAAGUGAAAAAUGCAAGACACAAAACAUUGCAUAUGGUAUGGUUCCAAUUUUAUCAAUAUAUAUUUAUAGGAACACACACAAAGGCUUGAGAGGGGAAAAAUAAAAGAUCAAUAGCAACUGUGGAUUUGGGGAUUACAGACCGUUUUAUCUCUUUUACAUUUUUCAUUACUUUCCAGGUUUUCUACAGCAAUUCCACAUGACUGAGUGGUCUCCAAGGGUUUAGAACUCAGGGAGGGCGUCUGUGCUAGGAUCAGUAACCGGCUUUCCUUCUUUGUUCAAGCUUUUCCCCUGCACUAAGUCCAGACAGGGUCGCUAUGACAAGGAAUCGACUCCACGGCACACAACAAACGCUAACUCAGGUCUCAUGCUAGUCUUUGGGGGAUCAGAGAUGGAUAAAACAUGGCUCCCUACCCCUCAAGGAACCCUCCGUGCCCGGGAAAAAGACAACUUCCACGAACUCUCUGUGAGCUCCGUGUGCCUCAGUUCCUUUUUCGGUACAAGAGCUCAAAGGUCGGUUGGGUCUGUCGGCUGGAGCGCCGAGGGACAGCCAGACCUCGCGCCUGGAAGCUCCGCACCAUCCGGUCGAGCAAGCCUCCCUGCUUGGCUGGAGUGCCCGGGUCGAUGCCUGCCGGUGGAUCGCGACCACGGGGUCCCCUUGCGCUCCGCCCCGCCCCGGCUGGGCCGGCACUCGCUUUAAUUUCAAAACGCUGACAGUUGGUCCCGCAAGACAGUAGUCUGGAGUCUGCCCAGCCCGCCUGUGGCGUCGGAUUCAGGGCUGAGCUUUCUCGGGUCGUAAAGACAGAGUCCGGGCACCGCCCCCCCGGACGGUUCCUUCCCCGAAAUCGGCCCGGAGCCCCCGGGGGAUGCGACGGGGAAGGAGAGAGUCCGGGAAAGUAGUUAUGAGAAAUAGGGGUAUCAUUCAGCAUCCAAGUUGGAUGCAGCGAGUCCAACCUCUUGGCUUCACAGAGGGGGAAACUAAGGCCCAAAGAACGCAGCCCUCGGGUGGAGUGCAAAGAAAGUCCUGAUUUCCAGUGCCAGUGUGAACCCCAAUCCUUGGCACGGCCGUGGGCAAGUCCUUUCCCUUCCCUGGGCCUCAGUUUCCCCGCCUGCAAAUGAGUGUGUCGGACUAUAUUUCCAAAGGGGUUCCGCCAGUGCAGGGGUCGGUAGUCAACAGCAAGGAAUACCCAGCGCACCGCCCCAGCCAGGGCUCCCGCCGCCUCCCAGUGCCAUGCUGGGUCUGGGGCAUAUCCCACCUCACCAGCGUGCGCCUGGCAUGGAGUAUGGACCCCGGAUCCCCGGGGCCCGCGCAGGUUACUCCAGGUGCUCAGGGUGAUGCUGCGGUUAGGCGGGUGAGAAGGUCAAGAAGGAAAGACAAAGAGAAAGAAAGAAAAAUUGGGAGAGAGAUUGAGAAAGAGCCAGAGAUUGACAGAGAGGCGGAGUGGAGAUCAGCUACCGUGAGAAAACGGAGGAGGAGAGACGGGAAGAACAGCGGAAAAGAAGCCAGAGCAGAAAAACAGAGGAAAGAGAGGGAGGGAGGCAAAACAGGGAAGGGGCCAGUUGUCUUCUGUCCAGGGUCUCCCCAGCCACCACCACCACCCAGAACGCACAAUGUGGAAACAAAGGCUUCGCUGGGGCCGGCUGGGGCGCAGGGGUUGCAUCCCCGGCACUCAGUGCGCGCAGGGCGGCUCCCAGGGCUCAGGCCCCCAGCCCACCCGCCUCCUUCCCCCCGCGCCCACCACUUACUUCUCGUCCAUCCCGGCGCCCGCACCGCCCGCGGCCGGAGCAGCGGCAGAGCGAGCACGAGCAGGCAGAGCCGGGCGGCGCCCGCGCCCCCGGGCAUGGCGGCGGCGGCGGCCCGUAGCGCGCUCCGCGCUCACACACCAGCGGCCAUGCCCGCCCCCCAGCCCAGCAGCCGUGCCGGCGGUGUCUGAAACCCACCGCUAGCCCUCUGUCUCCCCGCCAGGCUCCCAGCCCUCCGCCGUGACGCUCCGCCUCCAUGGCCCCACCAAGGGGUGGAGGAGAGGACGCGCCAGCCUGGAGGGGGCUGGAGGGAACAGGGCGGAGCCAAGAGGACCCCUAGGGAGUAGGGCGGGUUCAGCAGGACACAAAUCAAGGAGCCAUUCCUUCUGACUGGAGGAGGGGGUGGUGAAGACAAGGAAUCCCAGAGGAGAAGGCAUCUGAGCUUGGGAGGAGAAGUGGAGCACCAGGCAGAGGAAACGGCCUAGACAAACGCUGGGGUGUGAAAGCUCAUGGACUGUAUAGGGGAAAACCAGAAGUUGGGAUGGUUGGAGUUUACGGCUUUGGAGGUAAAUGAAGGCAGAUGAGACCAGGAAAUAAUAAUAAUGGCUAUCACUUAUUGAGGGCUUAGUAUCUGCUAGAAAAAGCAAAUAACAGCUAAGACUGAUAAUGAUAGCUAAGACUGAUACAGCACUUACUGACAGACACUGUCCUCAGCACUUUGCAUAUAUUAACUUAUUUAAUUAAUCAAGGAAAAGAACCACGUUUUAUUGGCCUUUGAUGUGUGUCAAGGGCGGAACAACUGGUCUCUAUUCAUCUGGAGCAACAAAGGAAGAAAGAGAGUCAGGAAUAGGAGAAGGAUAUGGCGUAUGUAACUAAUUGCCUCCAUGAACAACUCCCUCCUUUGCCAUAAGACCAGAGCUGAAUGGUGCCUGGCUGCCAUUACUGAACUUGAUCAAAGAUUCAAUAGAAGAAUCCUGAUCAAAAGGGGGAAAAUUCAGAUCAGAAUUUCAAAGUCUCAGAGAUUCUAGACUUUCUGGAGCCAUGGAGGGUGGAUGAACCCCUGAAACUAUUGCCCUGAGAUAAUCUUUAAACCUUAAACCAAAAAUAUCCCCUGAAGUCAUCUUAAAACUGAACAAUAGUUUAGCUUAACUAGAAAAAAAAGUUCUGCCUUGAGCAUUGUGCUCUUUUAAGAACUGUCUAUGUGUGAUCGAAUUGACAGCGGCAACGCUGAAGAUUAGGUAGGAACGUUAGGGGCCGGUGAGUUUAUGUUAAUGGGAGAGGAACCACCAGGAAAAGGAGAGUGACAAUGGUUGUACAACUGGAAGAAUGUGAUCAAUGUCACUAAAUUGUACGUUUAGAAAUUGUUGAAUUGGUCUGUGUUUUGCUGUGUAUAUUCUCAAUAACAACAGCGAAGUAAAUAAAAUUUAGGGGAAAAAAAAAAA